CCCUAUGGGGUGCACCAUGUAUUAGUUGAGAUUCGAAUUUUAAUUUGUGUUCUGACAUAAUAAAAUAAUUAAUAAUUUUUAAUUCUAAAUUUUAAUUUGAAAAGGAAAUACAUACUAUUUUUUUCAACGCAUUAUAUGCCGUCCAUUUGCGUCUGGUGCGGAAACAAUGCGUUAUCGCAUGCAACAUAAGCUGUAUGUGCUGUGGCGAAGUAUUUGAAGUGUUGUGUUCAUGGUCUUUUAAUUAAUUUAUAUUUCCAAAAAUUUGGUCAGGAAUUGGCGGGAGAGC
rnacentral:rRNA from 1 species